CCCAAAUAUAGAACAAUCUGAAUGUCCAAUUAUUUUGACUAAGUUGGAAUAGGUAAAGGUAAAGGUAAUUUUUAUUUACCUUUGCUUUGUGAAACAAUUAACAUAAGCUCCGUAGAGCUUUUUAGCAACCCUUUUUCAAGAACAGUUAAAUACACAGAGCUAACUUAAUUCUGUUUUACUGUUACAGUAAAUAAUAAUUAAAGACACUGAUUCUGGUGUGCCUGGUAUGUGGCCUAUGGGGAUGAUAAGGUCUGGUAUUGGAGAUUGGUACUUGAAAGUCAAUGGUUGAUCAUGAUGACCAUCUUUAAUUUAAUGGGGAAAGAUUAACCAAUAUUUGCAGCUGGAGAGGCUAUCACCACACUUCAAUGAUUUAGUUAAGACAAUGAAAUAGAAGAACUUCAUGCUAACACUUGCAUCAGUGGAAGUACUUCUUAUUGGAUAGAGAACUUUACAAGGUCAGCCAUCAGCUUUUGAAGUUGCUUUCUUGGCACAUCAUGCUGUCCAGUGGAGUUCAUACCAUAUGCCAGGCCUUUAUACAUGGUCAAAGAAGAUGAAUUUGUUAUUCAAUUUGUGAAAUUUGAUUUAAGGAGGACUUUCAUAUAUGAUGAUUAUAUUCAGCAGAUUAUCUUCAAGUGUGCACUUCAUAGAAUCACAGUUUCUAGGAGGUUUUCAGUUUAAAGUCAGAUUAAU
rnacentral:lncRNA from 1 species